rnacentral:rRNA from 1 species
UAGAGUUUGAUCAUGGCUCAGGACGAACGCUGGCGGCGUGCUUAACACAUGCAAGUCGAACGGUAAGGCCCUUCGGGGUACACGAGUGGCGAACGGGUGAGUAACACGUGGGUGACCUGCCCUGUACUUCGGGAUAAGCCUGGGAAACUGGGUCUAAUACCGGAUAUGACCUUCUCCUGCAUGGGGGUUGGUGGAAAGCUUUUGCGGUACAGGAUGGGCCCGCGGCCUAUCAGCUUGUUGGUGGGGUAAUGGCCUACCAAGGCGACGACGGGUAGCCGGCCUGAGAGGGCGACCGGCCACACUGGGACUGAGACACGGCCCAGACUCCUACGGGAGGCAGCAGUGGGGAAUAUUGCACAAUGGGCGGAAGCCUGAUGCAGCGACGCCGCGUGAGGGAUGACGGCCUUCGGGUUGUAAACCUCUUUCAGUAGGGACGAAGCGCAAGUGACGGUACCUACAGAAGAAGCACCGGCCAACUACGUGCCAGCAGCCGCGGUAAUACGUAGGGUGCGAGCGUUGUCCGGAUUUACUGGGCGUAAAGAGCUCGUAGGCGGUUUGUCACGUCGUCUGUGAAAACCCGAGGCUUAACCUCGGGCCUGCAGGCGAUACGGGCAGACUUGAGUACUGUAGGGGAGACUGGAAUUCCUGGUGUAGCGGUGGAAUGCGCAGAUAUCAGGAGGAACACCGGUGGCGAAGGCGGGUCUCUGGGCAGUAACUGACGCUGAGGAGCGAAAGCGUGGGUAGCGAACAGGAUUAGAUACCCUGGUAGUCCACGCCGUAAACGGUGGGUACUAGGUGUGGGUUUCCUUCCACGGGAUCCGUGCCGUAGCUAACGCAUUAAGUACCCCGCCUGGGGAGUACGGCCGCAAGGCUAAAACUCAAAGGAAUUGACGGA